rnacentral:rRNA from 22 species
UCAUUAAAUCAGUUAUAGUUUAUUUGAUGGUGUUCCGCUACGUGGAUAACCGUGGUAAUUCUAGAGCUAAUACAUGCAAAAGGUCCCGACUGUCACGGGAGGGACGUAUUUAUUAGAUCCAAAACCGACCCGGUCGGCUCCCCAGGGACCGGCCGGCGUUCCCCGGUGAUUCAUGGUAACUGUUCGAAUCGCUUGGCCUCCGCGCCGGCGAUGGUUCAUUCAAGUUUCUGCCCUAUCAACUUUCGAUGGUAGCGUAUUGGGCUACCAUGGUCGCAACGGGUGACGGAGAAUUAGGGUUCGAUUCCGGAGAGGGAGCCUGAGAAACGGCUACCACAUCCAAGGAAGGCAGCAGGCGCGCAAAUUACCCAAUCCCGACUCGGGGAGGUAGUGACAAGAAAUAACAA